rnacentral:rRNA from 1 species
GACAGAGGCCACAAGCGUUAGGCGGAAUCACUGGGCUUAAAGCGUGUGUAGGCGGACCGUUAAGUGCCUUGUGAAAUCCCCCGGCUCAACCGGGGAACGGCUGGGCAGACUGGCGGUCUUGAGCUGCCUAGGGGCGACUGGAACAAACGGUGGAGCGGUGAAAUGCGUAGAUAUCGUUUGGAACGCCAACGGUGAAAACAGGUCGCUGGGGGCAAGCUGACGCUGAGACACGAAAGCCAGGGGAGCAAACGGG